rnacentral:tRNA from 1 species
CAGAAAAUAGUUUAUAAAAAAUAUUAAUUUUGGAGAUUACUGAUAAGAGAGUUUCUUUUUUCUGA